AUGCAGGCUCUGAUGGAUGUCCGGUGCACGAACCAUGUCAACCCUGUAUGCGACUGGCUUGGUGAGAUCUACGAGCCCGCCUCCAGGGAAUUCGUGAUUCCGGGACGUGGAAGACUUCCGUUGAAAGAGGAAUCCGUGUUCUGCACUUUGGGUGUGCCUCGUGGACAUAUCAAAGUCCCGUACGAGGUCAAUAAUGAGAUUGAGGAAGCGCUGUUCGCCCGUUUGUUUCCUGGAUUGGAGUCCAUGCCGAAUACGUCUGCACUGGCAGAUUCGCUGCAGGCCAUGACGACGCACGGAGAUGUUUUCAAGAUGAAGCUACUUAUGUACCUCAUCUCAGCUGUUUUCGCGCCGACCACUUCUCUUCGCCCAAGCAACAAAUGCUUCCCCAUACUGGCGAAUCUGAAAAAUGUGAAGAACAUGAACUGGUGUAAGUUCAUUGCCGACUUCCUCCAUGAUGCUUUCGCUAACAAGAUGUACCAAAAGGGUUGUCGACUGCAUUUAAUGCUCAUGUAUGUCGACUGUCUUGAUCUAUCCACUAUGGAUUUCCCUGGGGUAGGAGGCCCGCCGCCUACGCACAAGUUUGCUGUUUCUGCGUGGACUAUCAACGCUGUCAAGGCUGUGCUUGCCGCAGACAGGGCAACUGAUACCACAUAUGGAAAACUGUAG
rnacentral:rRNA from 1 species